rnacentral:lncRNA from 1 species
AGAGAUUUUUCUAGAAUUUGGGUUAAGUUUUGGGCUAAACAUGAUUAGUAAAAUUUUAGCCCAAUCAUAUGACCCAAAUCAAGUUUAACUUCAAUAAUCAGGGCGCGGAUCAGAAUCCUCCAUGUUUUCUGGUUGGACUAUUGUUGCGAAGUAAAAAAAAACUCGUAAAGAAAGUAAACCAAAAUCAUCUGAAUCACGUUCGAUCGAGAAGAUACGAAACGUAUAAAAAAUAUAUGAGUGACGUGACGUCUACUUUGCAAAUUGCAACUAAUCCAAAAUGCAUG